rnacentral:tRNA from 1 species
GCCUGGGUGGCUCAGUGGUUGAGUGUCUGCCUUUGACGCAGGGCAUAAUCCCAGGGUCCUGGGAUCGAGUCCCACUUCGGGCU